CGGUGGAGCAUGUGGUUUAAUUCGAAGCAACGCGAAGAACCUUACCAGGUCUUGACAUCCCUGACAACCCGAGAGAUCGGCGUUCCCCUUCGGGGGACAGGGUGACAGGUGGUGCAUGGUUGUCGUCAGCUCGUGUCGUGAGAUGUUGGGUUAAGUCCCGCAACGAGCGCAACCCUCGACCUUAGUUGCCAGCAUUCAGUUGGGCACUCUAAGGUGACUGCCGGCUAAAAGUCGGAGGAAGGUGGGGAUGACGUCAAAUCAUCAUGCCCCUUAUGACCUGGGCUACACACGUGCUACAAUGGGCGGUACAAAGGGUCGCGAACCCGCGAGGGGGAGCCAAUCCCAAAAAGCCGCUCUCAGUUCGGAUUGCAGGCUGCAACUCGCCUGCAUGAAGCCGGAAUCGCUAGUAAUCGCGGAUCAGCAUGCCGCGGUGAAUACGUUCCCGGGCCUU
rnacentral:rRNA from 1 species